UACGUAGGGUGCGAGCGUUGUCCGGAAUUAUUGGGCGUAAAGAGCUCGUAGGCGGUCUGUCGCGUCGGCUGUGAAAACCCGGAGCUCAACUCCGGGCCUGCAGUCGAUACGGGCAAACUGGAGUACUGCAGGGGAGACUGGAAUUCCCAGUGUAGCGGUGAAAUGCGUAGAUAUUGGGAGGAACACCAGAUGCGAAGGCGGCGUCCUGGGCCGGUCCUGACGCUGAGGAGCGAAAGCGUGGGGAG
rnacentral:rRNA from 1 species